UUGAACGCUGGCGGCAGGCCUAACACAUGCAAGUCGAACGGUAACAGGGAUCAGCUUGCUGCUUCGCUGACGAGUGGCGGACGGGUGAGUAAUGUCUGGGAAACUGCCUGAUGGAGGGGGAUAACUACUGGAAACGGUAGCUAAUACCGCAUAACGUCGCAAGACCAAAGAGGGGGACCUUCGGGCCUCUUGCCAUCGGAUGUGCCCAGAUGGGAUUGGCUAGUAGGUGGGGUAACGGCUCACCUAGGCGACGAUCCCUAGCUGGUCUGAGAGGAUGACCAGCCACACUGGAACUGAGACACGGUCCAGACUCCUACGGGAGGCAGCAGUGGGGAAUAUUGCACAAUGGGCGCAAGCCUGAUGCAGCCAUGCCGCGUGUAUGAAGAAGGCCUUCGGGUUGUAAAGUACUUUCAGCGGGGAGGAAGGGAGUAAAGUUAAUACCUUUGCUCAUUGACGUUACCCGCAGAAGAAGCACCGGCUAACUCCGUG
rnacentral:rRNA from 1 species